UAGCCAUACACAAGAUAGGCUCUUGAUGGCCUGUAUACUCGCCAAGUAAUUGGCCAGACCGAACAUCCCAUUUUCGAAUAACACAAUCCGCGCAUGCAGUCAACAAAUAUGGAGUGUUGGGUAAAAACUUACAAUCAAUAACCGCUUGUUCAUGGGGAAGGGAUUUUCUAAACUUAAGGGAUGCAGAAUCGUAAAGCGCGACAGUACCAUCGACACUAGCACACGCACAUAUAGGUAAGGCCGUGCAAAGUGCGAUAGCUUCUACACUUUCAGUUUGGGCCUCCAAAGAAGCAAGAAUAUGACUACUAUUAAUGUUGACAACUUUUACUUUUCCUGACGAACCUCCUAAGAAAAGAACGUUACCUUCAGCAUUACAGUCGAAGCUGGUCCAACCGGCGGCAGUUUCUUCAUUACCAGGAUCAAAGCGAUGAUCAUCACUAGACAUUCUGCAUUCUGGUGCUCCAGUAGCCGGGUUCCAAACAAUUAAUGUACCAGAAUCAUCUACGGUUGCUAAACGCUUGCCAACACCGGGUGGGAUGAAUUUUCCAGCAUUUACAGGUGCCGUAUGGCCAUACAUAACCUGAACCACCUUACCAGAGGGAAGACUCCACAUCCAUAUACUUCCGUCAUUACAACCGGCGGCUAAGAACAAGCCCUUAGGGUGCCAAGAUAACCAAACAAUUUCGUCCACAGUUUCAAAAGCAGUAAUGAACUCAAAACCUGUACUGGAUUUCCACAAUCUGACUUGACUAUCCAUACCACCAGUAGCAAUAUAAGUUCCAUCAAAGCUCCAGUCUAUAGCUACUAUGGAGUCUUUAUGUCCUGUCAAUUGACAUAUUUGUUCACCGGUAGUAAUGUCCCAUAUAUACCCUAGGUCAUCUCCUCCACCAGACGCGCACAGAUUUGAAUGCACUGGAUUGAUAGAGACGCUGAAUACAGAGUCUUUAUGCUCGAAAAAACCUUGAACAGACAUGUCCAUAACCAUGUUAUUCAUAGUAUCGUUUUGUUCUUGCUCAGCUUCGUCCUCUGUGACACCUUGGUCCAUUAGUUUGUCAUUAUCUUUAAUAACUUCUUCUACUUCAUUUUCUGCUAUGUAUAAUUCUUGAUUUUCUUCUUCUUCGGCCAUUAUUAAUGUGGGUGUGUACCAGCUAAAAAGCUUUG